UUACCGCUCUCCCGCUCCUCUUCGGAAUAUUGUGACGUUAUGACCUUUCCUCCAAUGUCCAAUAUCCAGGAUUUCUUUCUGCAGGAAGAAUAUGGGAGACAAAAAGAUACUCAGCAUUGGUUUGGUGUGUCUGGAUAUCAUAAAUGUUGUGGAUAAAUACCCGGAAGAAGAUACUGAUACCAGGUGCAUCACAAGUGGUUUGUAGGUGUUUACCUCAGAGAUGGCAGAGGGGAGGAAACGCUUCAAACAUGUGCACUGUUUUGUCUCUACUUGGGGCCCCGUGUACAUUUAUGGGGUCUUUGGCUCCUGGACCAGUAGCUGAGUAAGUGUUUUCUACCUACUAUUAUGCAACAACAUUUUUAGAGUAAUAGGUUAUAUAUGAUACAAAUAGAAUAUAUAAAGAAUGACAGUGUGUGUGAGUAAUACAUUUAUAAUUUAUAUAACAUACCAAGAUAUACUGAUAUUUGUAUGCUGGAUGCGUUUUCAUCUUUUCUUACUCCAAGUUUUUAUAUAAGCAGAAAUACACUACCCUAUCCCUUACACAUUUUCCAAUAGUCACAUCUUUUCUUUGUUUACAUUAGCUACACACUUAAGUUCUGUAGGCAUACUUUACCUUGCUAAUUUGUUCUUCUAGCUUCAUCUUUAAUGAUUUUCAAAUGUACACGAUUGACAUCUCUCUUCUUCUCGAGCAUGCUGAAUGCUCUUUUCCAGCCUCUGUAGUAAUCAGCAGUGUGACCACAGGAAGCCAUACAAUUCUGCAUAUGAACAGGUUUGUGUGUGAGAGUAUAUCUGUAAGUAUUACGAAGCUCUUUCCUCACAGGACAGCUGACGUAUUCCUGACGCAAAACAACAAGUGAAAAUACACUACUGCUUUUUCUGUUUUAAGGGGUGCACUGAAGGUGCAUGGUUUGAAACUGGCAAGCAUUGUGAGCCGGCUAAAUGUUUCCUGCUCAAAUUAGUCAGUAGUGCAUAUGGGUCACUGCAAUACCUCUCUGUUUGCUGUACUAGUUUCAUCAUGGGGGAUUUUGUACGCCGAGGGGUGGACAUAUCUGCUGUGGCUUGGCAGCAGUGGGGUGAGACCCCAUGUGCCUGUUGUGUGGUGUGUCCUACCAAUGGCUCUCGCACUGUCAUGCUCUCAGACACGUAAGAGUAGCAUCCAAAGUCACAGUAAUCAUUCUCAAACAUAAUCUGAUAAAAGUCUUUCUGCAGUGGCACUGCCGUAAUUGACAGUAAUUUAGGGGCCGUUUACACAACAGCAUUUUAAACUAAAAACUGAAAACUUUCAUUUACCCGACAAUGGCAUUUUGGGGGCCUGAAAAUGCUAAUUUUUGAAAAUGGCGACGUCAUGCGCAUGCGAAGGCCUAUAACAUGUUCAGUCUAUAGGUGCAGAAUUUUUCUUGACAAAGUGAUAUCGCCAACUACAGGCCUGGCAUGAAUAAUACAGCAUUUUUGGUUUCACAGAUCUGUGUGAAUGGCGAUCGUAUUGACAACGUUGUCGUUUGCACGCGAAAAACCCAAUGGAAAAACUUUUCGGUUUUUAGUACAUUGUUGUCGUGUAAAUGUACCCUUAGUCUUAAAGUAUAUUCUAUUAACAAAUCAUGACAAUUUGACAUUGCAUGCAUUAAUUUGAGUGCUUAUUUUUUGGAGAUUUGUCAUUGUCAUUAAUUUAUUUUUCUAUUAGAUGUCUGUUUUGUCCAAGAUUAUUUGAAUCAAACAACACACAACAGCACACAAUGUCAAAGCUUACUAGGUAACUAGCUAACUUAUUCCACGGCUCUCUGAAAUACUUGAUUCUGAUUGAUCAGUUUCCACAUUGUAUGGCCAAAUAUUUGUGUAUAAUGACCACUAAACUAUCUGGCCAUUGUCCCUGGCAACUGAUUUUACUACAUAGCAUAGCAUACUAUAUACUACACAAAAUAAAAAUAAUUUCAGCUCAAAUAAAUAUGUACUUGUAUCUAUUUAUGUAUUUGUACAUAUCUAUUUAUGUAUAUAUUUGCUAAGUAGCCGUGUAAUAAGUGAGAUAAUGUUCAAUCAUUCAUUCAUUAUCACAAAAUAAACCCCUGCAGAAUGAUAUAAAACCUCUCCACUUAACGUAAAGGUGCUGAUCGGCCUGCUGAGGUUUAUAUUUGUGGUUAAGACUGGUUGACUGUACAUUAUCAUUUACUUGUAUAUAAAAUAUACUAAUAUAUAAAACAACAUUUAUUUUCAUCUUGGCCUUGAAUAACAUUUCUUGUCUCUAAAACUUAUUUUGAGAACUUUCAAAACCUUUUCCUUCUAUGCUGAGAAACAGACUUUGGUUUAUAAUCAUAAUAAUCUUAUAAUAACAGCCCAAAGCUGACUAUUUCUCUGUGCUUAUGACUGUUAUCAAAUGUUUUACUGUAUAUAAACUGACAGGCAUCUGGUCUAAGGGAAUAAUCUAGGGUUUUACCAUUAUAAAGACCUUCACUGAUUCAGUUUGUGACUGUAAACAGUUUGGUUUUAUAUGAUUACAGCAGAUCAUGUCACAAUAAUUGAUAGUAAUAGUGACUUAUCAUGUACACAAAGUACAGUCAUUACUUAUUAUUUACUGAUCUUUCUUUGAACACUGAUUGUUGUAGUCCAACACACAAGAGAACUUUCAUCAGCAAUUUUCUCUGUUUAAUCAGAAACUUGCCAGAUGUUUCUGUAGAAGACUUUUCAAAGGUGGACUUGAGCCAGUGCAAGUGGGUCCACUGGGAGGUGAGAGUGUCUGCCAAAAUAUCUUUGACUUUCUUCAUAGUAACAGCCCAAGUUCAGACUCAGACUAUUUAGUUCCUUCUGAUCUGUGUUAUUCCACAAGUAGAGAGCUGAUUGUUUUAUGACUGCAUUGUCAGGGCUGUAAUGCUGACGAACAAGUGAAGAUGAUUGAGAGGGUGAGAGAGUAUAACAGCAAACAGGAAGAGAAAAACAGAAUAACCAUUUCUGUGGAAAUCGAGAAGACCAGGGAACCCCUCUACCAGCUUUUCCCUCUUGGCGAUUUGAUAUGUUUUCACUCCAUGUUUUAGACAUCAAACUGGACUGAAUAAAACGCAUUGUUUGAACUUGGAUAAUAUUAAAAUAUAAUUUAAUAUUAAAAAUAAUAUUAAAAUAUUAAUUUAACA